AAAUCCUUGCAACUGUAGCGGACGUGGUGUGGGCUGACCGCCGCCGGCCCCCCAUUUGCAUCCUUGCGGCGCUGGCCCGCCGCCAGAACACGUCUCGCCCGCGGCCGAUCCUCUCCAUCCGCUCGCCGCGCCGCCACCCGGAGAGGCCCAGCGUCCUCGCGAGCCGCGACCAGCUGCGGCGCGGCGUCCGUCCUCUGCAGCCCCGGUGUCCCCGCGGCCGUCGCUGCUGUCCUACUUCGCCACUCGCCACUCCCCACCUUGGCCGGCGACGAGCACAACCAGGUAUUCCCUCCCCUUGGCCAUUCCUUCCUGCUGUCCGAAGCCAUGCGCCCAAACCUUAAUCUAAUUCAGGGUGGUGCAUGCAUGAAGUUCGCGGGCUGGUACCUGAAGAUCGCGGCGGUCGGGGCCUCCAUUGGCGCCGCCAUGGAGCUCUUCAUGAUCCACACGGGCUUCUAUGAUAAGGUUGUUGUCCUGGAGUCAGAAAAACGAGCUUGGGAAAGCAGUCCAGAGGCCCAAGCUAUGAGGGAAGCCCUAAACCCAUGGCGCAAGCAUGACGAACAGCAGAAGAAAUAGUCAUGAGUUAUGCGUCCUGUCAAGUGAUUGUACCCUCCAUUCUUAGGCCCUUGAACGAGGUUUGAAAAAGGAAGCAGGAGAGGUUUGUGGGAGCGCGCGUGCGUGUUGUUCAUCUAACGGUCAAAAGCAGAGCAGAGGCAGACUGGUAGGAGGAAAGCAGAGUUGAGUUAGUUGCAGAUAACAUUCAAUUCAGACCUGAGACUGAAUAUGAAAUGUACUGGUUUGUUGGUUGGUUGUUGAUGAAGUAACUUAACUAUUGCUGGAUAGUACUCCGCCGGUUGAUGAUGGAUGUCUAAUCCCCAUCUUAUGUCAUGCCACUUUUUCGUUUGGAUUUUGUAAGGGAAAUGCACGAGAACGUGAUAGAGAAAUAAGAAUGGCAAACACUCUGUGAUCCUCCCCGUCGUUGACAUAAAAAAAAAACCUAAACACUUGCAUUUUAUAAUGGAAUUCUAGAAUCUAACUAUAUAAUGGAAUAAUCACUAUGUGAGAAUGAAAUAUAAAGAAAACCCUCAUUAUUUUUUAGAAUUUUAUGAUUAUACAUAUAGUUUAUGACAGGACUGUAUGAUGCUAAACUUGUGUUGUGUAAUAAAACAUGCGCAGUAAUAACUAAUAGAAGAAGAAAAGCGAGAGGGAAAACAAAGAAGAGGGCGUGGUUCGGAUAAUAAACGUAAGGAAGGAAGGAAAGAAGGAAGGAGAUGGAGAUCUGUUCCGACAGGUUCAAAUACCAUCUCUGUCAUGUUCUUCCAAGAAAAAUCAAAGGAGAUGCCACAUAUCAGAUGGAGCUACUAGCUCCCAGCCACAAAACAGCCCACACUGGAGUAGCGUGCUUGCUGUUGCUGCUGUUCAGGUCACCGUCCGUCACCCUCUUCUGCCUUUUCGCUUGGCUAAAAGUACUCUUCGUUGAUUUGUUGUAAGAGAAAAAUAUUGCUGAAUGACUAGUAGAUUCGGCAAAUGAGACAGCUAAUAUAUACAGUAGGAACCGGCAUGAUCAUGGUCAUGGUCUUGGUCUUGGCGACCGACGACGGAAGGACGAACAAGCACAAAUAUCCCUGCCCUGUC